UUAUGUACUAAAGGCACUCUUGCCUUUGGUGUCACUCUUAUGAGGCUUCACACUACCUCUAUACUUGAUCCACUAUGGUUACUCUAUCUUUCUAGGAUUAAGUUUAGUUUCUUGGAGUGCAAAGAAACAAUCAACAGUCUCUUAUUCUAGUUGUGAGUUAGAAUAUCGACCCAUAGGUAACACUCUUGCAGAAAUAGUAUGGAUUACUCAUUUGUUGUGUGAGCUUCAUGCCUACCCAUGCUUUUAUGUCAGAAUCCAGUUGCUCAUAAGGGAGCAAAGUAUAUUGCUCUAGACUACCACUUCAUUCCAGAGCUUCUCUUUAGUGAAAUUGUACACUAAGUUUAUACCUACCAAGCUUCAAGUGGUGGAUAUCUUCACCAAAAGUCUUUCGCUUGCUUAGUUUAAUGAUUUCCAUGCAAUGCUUCAUUUGAGUCCACCAUGGUUUCGCUAGCGGUGGGGGGAAUAUUACGUCUAAACUAAACACAUAAGUAGUUUGAUGUAUAUAUUCUAAUUUCUUAUAUUUCAUGUACUAUUCUUA
rnacentral:lncRNA from 1 species